GACAUACAAAGCAUAUGUGAUUCUUCAGCUGAGAGUUACGCAAGCCAUCUAUGUUUUUCAACACUCUUAAAGGAGCAUGCCCUAGUCUUCUAUCAAUUGUCUUGUCCUGAAAUAUAUGACUCUCAUGUCUUAGUGAUAGUAACUCGUUCUCCAGUAGGUAAAUGCACCUUAUUCUUACUCAUUUGUGGCAGUUCUUUGAAUUUGUGAAGCAAACUUAGCUUGUGUACCAUAUGGUUUGUUGCCUCUGUCUCUACUAUCCAGUUAUAUUCAACUAGAUUAGAUAUUAGAGCAGUAUGAAUACAUGAUGUUCCUAUAUGAGCUACAUUAGCCAUAGGCUCUCCUUUUUUUUAUACCUUUGUUCAACAUUUACAUAAUUUGAUUGUAUUGUUCUUAAGUGAAGAACUGAGCUGGAGCUGGUGGUGUAGAGAUAGGUGCUGGUUGCUGAGAUGAUCCUUGAGCUCCAGACACUUGAUUUCUUGCACUAUACAUAUUGUUAGCAUAAGUAUUAGGUGUGCCUCCCUUCUUCCUGUAUUUGAAGUCAGUUGGAUAUCCAUGUAACUUGUAGCAAUUGUCCGUUGUGUGACCUUUGAGCUAGCAGUAGUCACAUUGAAGUGCAAGAAUUCCAUAGUUGUAAUUGUUUCUAGUUUUGUAACUAGUGUUACCACCACUAGUGUUGUUGCCAUUAUUAUUUCCUCUGUUUCUUAAAAGAGCAGUAGAAUCAUUGCCAUCAAUACCAACACUAGUAUUGAUCCCAAUGUUGUCAUUCUUUCUUUGACUUUCUACAUUCACUACCUUAACAUAUGCCUGGUUUAUAUUUGGUAGUGGCAUUGUCAUAAGAAUUUGAUCCUUUGCUUUCUCAUAAGAUUUAUUAAGACUAGUCAAAAACUUAUAUAGCUUUUGAAACUGAUAAUGACUGCAUGUUUAACAGACUCUAGGCAUCCACAUAAAGGAGGAGGAUCAAGUGUCUCAUACUCAUUACAUUGUUCCCUAAGCUUCGAGAAAUACACAGACACAGAUGAUAUGCUCUGAGCAAGUGUAGUAAUUUCCUUGUGCAAAUAACAAGCUCUCUUCUCUUAGAGUUCUUCCCACACAUAAAUCACAUUACUAAUAAGGCUCUAAGACACUAUAUUUAUUAUCUAAGACAAAAUAAUGUCAUUAAAUCUAUCCAAGAGUACAUGUAAACUAGGAUCGUAUUCUUUUUUGCAUGUUCCUAAAGUAAAUCCUAGUUUAUUUUUACCAUGCAAAAUAAUUUUCAUCAACCGACUCCAGAUCGAAUAAUUUUCAGAACCUUGGAGUUGAAUUGAGAUAAGAAUAGAACCUUUCGUAUGUGAAGAAUGAAUAUACAGAGGAUGAUUGUGAUGUACCAGAUGUAGAGCGUACAACAUAUGAGUUGCAGUAACUGGGAGAGCUCCGGAAAUGGAGAUUCCAUCGGCAUUCACCGUUGAAAUAUAUAUCGCUUGAGUCGUACCACACUAAUUGAGUUGAUUUAAGUCACAACUUACAAAAUUAUACCAUAAAUUGACACUAAUCAAUCAAUCCCUAAUUGCAAGAAAUUUUUUAGAACUGGCGAAGAAACAGAGUAAAAGAAAAAAAAAUCAACAAGUGAGAUGAUCUUAGUGAGAUUCCUCUUCCGAUGAUGCUGAGCUAAUUAAUCUCACCUGUAAACUUUGAUAUCAUUUUAAACAGAUCAUCCAUGUCAGAACAGGAGAGAAAGUCAGUGGAGAGGAAGAAGCUCCAUUUUUUGUGUAUUAGGCAAAUGUCCAAAACUGAAUCUAGAAAAUCUAUUGUACACGUAUAACCACCUCCCUAUUUAUAGCAACUAAC
rnacentral:lncRNA from 1 species